AUUGAACGCUGGCGGCAGGCUUAACACAUGCAAGUCGAGCGGGGAAGGGUAGCUUGCUACCUGACCUAGCGGCGGACGGGUGAGUAAUGCUUAGGAAUCUGCCUAUUAGUGGGGGACAACAUUCCGAAAGGAAUGCUAAUACCGCAUACGCCCUACGGGGGAAAGCAGGGGAUCUUCGGACCUUGCGCUAAUAGAUGAGCCUAAGUCAGAUUAGCUAGUUGGUGGGGUAAGGCCUACCAAGGCGACGAUCUGUAGCGGGUCUGAGAGGAUGAUCCGCCAAGCUGGGACAGAGACACGGCCCAGACUCCUCCGGGAGGCAGCAGGGGGGAAUAUUGGACAAUGGGCGCAAGCCUGAUCCAGCCAUGCCGCGUGUGUGAAGAAGGCCUUUUGGUUGUAAAGCACUUUAAGCGAGGAGGAGGCUACUUGGAUUAAUACUCUAGGAUAGUGGACGUUACUCGCAGAAUAAGCACCGGCUAACUCUGUGCCAGCCGCCGCCGUAA
rnacentral:rRNA from 1 species